rnacentral:lncRNA from 1 species
UUUGGGGUUUGGAAUGGAAAUAAUAGAUUGAGGUUAAAGGGAUGAUGGGGUUUGGAAUAUAUGAAGUAGAAGAUAAAGAAGACGGGGUUUGGGGAAGAUGGGGUUUGGGGUUUCGGAUUUUAGGGAUUUAAACAUAUUCCUCGUAAUUUCCUCAUAAUAUAACGAGGAAAUAACGACGAAAAGAACGCGGGCCUCGCUAAUUCCUCGUUAAUUUCACGUAAGCACAAUUCGUUUUUAAAGACCUCGUAAGAGGAAAACGUGGGCCUUGCUAUUUCCUC